rnacentral:rRNA from 1 species
UACGUAGAGUGCAAACGUUGUUCGGAAUCACUGGGCAUAAAGAGCUCGUAGGCGGCCGAAAAAGUCGGUUGUGAAAGCCCCUGGCUCAACCAGGGAAUUGCAGCCGAAACUGCUUGGCUUGAGUGUGAGAGAGGAGAGUGGAACUUCCAGUGGAGCGGUGAAAUGCGUAGAUAUUGGAAGGAACGCCAGUGGCGAAAGCGACUCUCUGGCUCACUACUGACGCUGAGGAGCGAAAGCUAGGGGAGCGAACGGG